ensembl:lncRNA CCDC144BP coiled-coil domain containing 144B, pseudogene
GAGGCUUUGCGGUGGCUGCUUGGCUUGGCGGUGGUCGCUUGGCUUGGCGUGGCAGUGAUCGCUUGGCUUGGCAUUUCUGGCUUGGCGGUCCUCCUUUCGCAGAUUGGAAACCGCGGGCUAUCCUGCUGGGAGGUUGUGGCCGAGGCAGUAGCUCGCUACUGAUGGCCUCCUGGGGUGGAGAAAAGCGGGGAGGGGCUGAGGGGUCUCCGAAGCUGGCAGUCUACGCCACGAGGAAGACCCGUAGCGUCAGGAGCCAGGAGGACCAGUGGUACUUGGGCUACCCGGGGGACCAGUGGUCUUCGGGCUUCUCCUACAGCUGGUGGAAAAAUAGCGUCGGCAGCGAGAGCAAGCACGGUGAGGGCGCCUUAGACCAGCCCCAGCACGACGUCCGCCUGGAAGAUCUUGGCGAGCUCCACAGAGCUGCCCGGUCGGGCGACGUCCCUGGGGUGGAGCACGUCUUGGCUCCUGGAGACACUGGCGUGGACAAGAGGGAUAGGAAGAAGAGCAUUCAGCAACUAGUUCCUGAAUAUAAGGAAAAACAGACACCUGAAAGUCUUCCUCAAAAUAACAAUCCAGAUUGGCAUCCUACUAAUUUGACCCUUAGUGAUGAGACUUGUCAGAGAUCCAAGAAUCUGAAAGUUGGUGAUAAAAGUCCAUCUGUAUCACCAUCAAUGCCUGAAAAUCAGUCAGCAACCAAAGAACUGGGACAGAUGAACUUAACAGAACGAGAAAAAAUGGACACUGGAGUUGUACUUCUCUCAGGGAAUGAUACUCUCCAUGACCUGUGCCAAUCACAGCUACCAGAAAACAAAGAGAGCAAAGAAGCAGAACAAGACUUGGAGCUGACAUCAGAGGAAGAGCAAGAAAGACUUAAAGGAUGCGAAAAUAAGCAGCCACAGGACAAAGCUAUUUUUAAAACAUGUAGCCCAACAGAGAAGACACGCAAGAAACAAAACAAGCAAAUUAAUCUUCCACUUUUGCACCUGCAGAAAACGUCUCAAGAACCAGAAAUGGCUAAGGAUUGUGAUAGAGAGGAUAUACCUAUAUAUCCAGUACUUCCUCAUGUGCAAAAAUCUGAGGAAAUGUGGAUUGAACAAGGCAAAUUAGAGUGGAAAAACCAAUUAAAACUCGUCAUAAAUGAGUUAAAGCAGAGGUUUGGUGAAAUUUAUGAAAAAUACAAAAUUCCGGCUUGUCCUGAGGAAGAGCCACUACUUGAUAACUCUACAAGAGGAACAGAUGUGAAGGAUAUUCCCUUUAAUUUGACAAAUAACAUACCUGGUUGUGAGGAAGAAGAUGCAUCUGAAAUAUCUGUCUCAGUGGUAUUCGAGACAUUUCCUGAACAAAAAGAACCCAGUCUCAAAAAUAUCAUCCAUCCAUACUAUCAUCCGUACUCUGGGUCCCAGGAACAUGUUUGCCAGUCAUCUUCUAAGCUUCAUUUACAUGAAAAUAAAUUAGACUGCGACAAUGAUAACAAACUAGGCAUUGGACAUAUUUUUAGUACAGAUAACAACUUUCAUAAUGAUGCAAGCACUAAGAAAGCAAGGAACCCAGAAGUGGUUACGGUUGAAAUGAAAGAAGACCAAGAGUUUGAUUUGCAAAUGACAAAAAAUAUGAACCAAAAUAGUGACAGUGGCAGUACAAAUAACUAUAAAAGCCUGAAACCUAAAUUAGAAAAUCUGAGUUCUUUACCACCAGAUUCUGACAGAACAUCAGAAGUAUAUCUACAUGAAGAAUUACAGCAAGACAUGCAAAAGUUUAAGAAUGAGGUCAACACAUUAGAAGAAGAGUUCCUGGCUUUGAAGAAAGAAAAUGUUCAACUUCAUAAAGAGGUUGAAGAAGAAAUGGAGAAGCACAGAAGUAAUAGCACAGAAUUAUCAGGAACCCUAACUGAUGGUACUACUGUUGGCAAUGAUGAUGAUGGACUAAAUCAGCAGAUUCCUAGGAAGGAAAAUGAAGAGCAUGACAGGCCUGCAGAUAAAACAGCUAAUGAAAAGAACAAGGUCAAAAACCAAAUAUAUCCUGAGGCUGACUUUGCUGACUCAAUGGAGCCAUCUGAAAUAGCCUCAGAGGAUUGUGAAUUGUCUCACUCUGUUUAUGAGAAUUUUAUGUUGCUGAUUGAACAACUUAGAAUGGAGUAUAAAGAUUCUGCUAGCCUACCAAGAAUCCAAGACACAUUUUGUUUGUGUGAACACUUACUGAAACUUAAGAAUAAUCACUGUGACCAACUUACAGUAAAACUUAAACAAAUGGAAAAUAUGGUCAGUGUACUACAAAAUGAGCUAUCUGAAACAAAAAAGACAAAAUUACAGUUAGAACUUCAAAAAAUUGAAUGGGAGAAAGAGCUGUACGAUUUGAGACUUGCCUUAAAACAAGAAAAUGGGAGAAAAGAAAUGCCGAUAUGUUGUAUAAUAAAGAUAGUGAACAGUUAAGAAUAAAAGAAGAGGAGUGUGGGAAAGUGGUUGAAACAAAGCAACAACUUAAAUGGAAUCUGAGAAGACUUGUUAAGGAAUUGAGGACAGUAAGAAAUAACUUGGAUCUGGUUGUGCAGGAGAGAAACGAUGCCCAGAAGCAACUUUCUGAAGAACAGGAUGCCAGAAUAUUACAAGAUCAGAUUCUGACAAGUAAACAAAAGGAACUAGAAAUGGCUCAAAAGAAAAUGAAUUCUGAGAUUUCUCAUAGGCAUCAGAAAGAAAAGCAUCUCUUUCAUGAAAAUUGCAUGUUGCAGGAAGAAAUUGCCUUGCUGAGACUGGAAAUAGAUACAAUAAAAAAUCAGAACAAGCAAAA